rnacentral:ncRNA from 1 species
AAUACUUUGCCGCCGGGCAAACGCUUGUUCCCGCUCCGUUAGGCCGUAGAAGGAGUGGGGAUAAGCGUUUUUUACGU